GUAAACUAUUAAAGGGGAAGUACAGAUUGUAUUUGGCCCUAACUUUUCUUCAAUAUUUAAUUUUUUAUGCCACUGGUAUUAAACACAGUCGUUUUAUAACAUUAAAAAUCAUCUAACUUAAUUUGAUUCUUCUAAACGUGAAAUAACUCGAAACAUGGGUUAAGCUUUCGAUCUCUCUUUUAUCUCUUUUUAUCUUUCAGAGAAAGUCGCCGAUUCUCGUGACAAAAAAAAAAGUCGCUGAUUCUUUUCCGGCAUCUGUCUCCCACGAUGGUCAGUCUCCGCCUCUAGCAAACGGUGGCUUUUACAGCACCGAUUUAGCCCGCUUCAGAGUCUAGCUUUAUUGUUGCUCUUCACUGAUGGUGACGGCUGGCUUUUCACCGUUUUUUUCAGUUUUCUUUUUCUUUAGUUUCGUUUGAUUUUUCUUUUGAUAUUCGCUCUUCCGACUUUGAUUUUGGUUCAGUUGAAAUUUGAUUCUCAGAUUUGAUAAUUUGAUUCCCCUAUCACUGGCACUUAAAAGGUGAAUAGUGCUUGCCUAAGUGGUUUGGAAGCUAUUAGAUGUGUUUGGAUCCUGGUGGCUUGGACUGACUCAAGAAUUUUUCCCCUUCGUCGGAAGUGUUUGUCUCGACAGCUUCUCAAUCACUUCUGAUUUCUGAAUUAAGCUAUGUUGGUUGCUCUUCAUCCGAUGAGAUUGGUCUCCGGUGAUUCCCAAGCUCCGGCUUGAAUUCUCCGUGCACGUUUGCGAGGUGGCAGGAGUGCCAGUGCUAUGUUGCGUCGAGAAGCUGCGUUGUAUGUGAUCAUCUCUCUUUGAUCUGGAAAGUUUGAGUCUUUUUAAGUUAUCUUAGCUAUAUUCUGUUUCAUAUUGGAAUAUGACAAGUAGCUUCCUCUGUCUGCAAGAUAGAGCUUUACUAUGUUGGGAAUGAGAUGUCGGAAUCCACACUCUGAACCGUCAUGUUUCAGUUCACCAUAGAUUUCUUCUGAAUGGGAUCAGUGUUGGUUUUGAAUCUACAGAAACAUCACCUUCUGAAAAGUUCUCACCACCAUCCAGGGAUAUGAAACUAUGGAGACCAAAUAGUUUACCUUACUUACCUACACAUGAGCCUUCAAUGGACUUUAAUCAUCACAUCAGGGGUUUUUACCAGAAACUAAAAUCAUUGAUCACAUCUCAGUGUUUAUUCUGGAGAUUUCUUCUUCAAUUCCUUUUACUGGUUCAUCCCUGAAGAAGAGGGUUGAGAAACGGCGGCAGGAACGGUUCUAACAACUGCAACUAUCUCUUGGCCGAGAAAAACUGGAAGUCAGUUUUGUUACAGUGUAUCUUGUGAUUCUGUACUUUAAGAGAAAUAUUUUCUCAGCUGGAGUAGUAAUGUUCAGAUCAUUUAACAUCCGAAUAAGUUAAACACUGUAUAUUAAUCAUUCAAGCUUACUUACUAUCCA